rnacentral:rRNA from 1 species
GUAACACUAACUGGAGGACCGAACCGACUAAUGUUGAAAAAUUAGCGGAUGACUUGUGGCUGGGGGUGAAAGGCCAAUCAAACCGGGAGAUAGCUGGUUCUCCCCGAAAGCUAUUUAGGUAGCGCCUCGUGAAUUCAUCUCCGGGGGUAGAGCACUGUUUCGGCAAGGGGGUCAUCCCGACUUACCAACCCGAUGCAAACUGCGAAUACCGGAGAAUGUUAUCACGGGAGACACACGGCGGGUGCUAACGUCCGUCGUGAAGAGGGAAACAACCCAGACCGCCAGCUAAGGUCCCAAAGUCAUGGUUAAGUGGGAAACGAUGUGGGAAGGCCCAGACAGCCAGGAUGUUGGCUUAGAAGCAGCCAUCAUUUAAAGAAAGCGUAAUAGCUCACUGGUCGAGUCGGCCUGCGCGGAAGAUGUAACGGGGCUAAACCAUGCACCGAAGCUGCGGCAGCGACGCUUAUGCGUUGUUGGGUAGGGGAGCGUUCUGUAAGCCUGCGAAGGUGUGCUGUGAGGCAUGCUGGAGGUAUCAGAAGUGCGAA